CCUACGGGCGGCAGCAGUGAGGAAUAUUGGUCAAUGGGAGAGAUCCUGAACCAGCCAAGCCGCGUGAGGGAAGACGGCCCUAUGGGUUGUAAACCUCUUUUGUCGGAGAACAAAACCCGGGACGUGUCCCGGACUGCGUGUAUCCGAAGAAAAAGCAUCGGCUAACUCCGUGCCAGCAGCCGCGGUAAUACGGAGGAUGCGAGCGUUAUCCGGAAUUACUGGGCGUAAAGGGCGCGUAGGUGGGCGCUUAAGUCAGGUGUGAAAACUCCGGGCUCAACCUGGAGACUGCACUUGAAACUGGGUGUCUUGAGGGCAGGAGAGGAAAGUGGAAUUCCUGGUGUAGCGGUGAAAUGCGUAGAUAUUAGGAGGAACACCAGUGGCGAAGGCGACUUUCUGGACUGUACCUGACGCUGAGGCGCGAAAGCGUGGGUAGCGAACGGGAUUAGAUACCCGGGUAGUC
rnacentral:rRNA from 1 species